rnacentral:rRNA from 1 species
CAGGUCAGCAUACUGCCGUGAAUACGUUCCCGGGCCCUUGUACACACCGCCCGUCACACCAUGAGAGUUGGGAAUACCCGAAGCCUGUGAGCUAACUUUAGGGAGGCAGCAGUCGAAGGUAGAAUCAAUGAUUGGGGUGAAGUCGUAACAAGGUACC